GCUGUUUGGAGCCGUUUUGGGCCCCAGCCCAACGGCUAAAAGGGCCCAACGGCUCCUUAACGUUAAUAUUUAAAAAAAAAAUAAAAAAAAAAUAAAAAUAAUUUGACCGUUGAACCGGACCGGAACCGGUUCUUACCGGACAGGAACCGGUUCUUACCGGACCGGAUCAACCGGAUAAAAAUCCGGGUUCCGUUUCGGUACCGGUUCCGGUACCUAUAAGACCGGUUCCUUACCGGUUCAACCGGUACCGGUCUUACCGGUACGGGAACCGGACCGGAACCGGACCGGACCGGGCAAAAACCGGUCCGUUUGCCACUCUUACCUCCAAUACAUGAAUUAUCUUAUUUGAUUGACCAUCUAUUUUAGGAUGGAAGGUUGUGCUAAACACGAGCUGAGUGUCUAAUGUUUCAUGUAACUUACCCCUAAAUUUAGAAGUAAACUGAGCACCUCUUCUCAGAUGAUAGAAAGGGGCACCCCGUGCAACUUUACUAUCUCUUUGACAUAAAUCUUGCCCAACUGUUGAGAGUUAUAGUCUACUUUAACUAGAAUGAAAUGGACCGAUUUAGUCAACCUGUCAACAAUUAACCAAGAUGGAAUCAUAAUUUUCCAAAAUCUUAGGAAGACCGGCAGAAAGUCCAUGGCUAUCCUUUCCACUUCAACUCAGGAAUGAGCAUCCUUUAAAGACAUCUUGCAGGCCUCCGGUGCACAUACUUUACCUACUGUCAGUUCUUACACUUAGACACUUACUUAAAUAUGUCAUUUUUCAUCCCAGACUACAAAUAAAGUUGCCUCAAAUCUAGAUACAUUUUGGUUACACUUGGAUGAAUCGAAUACCUUUUUGGACCAAGUCUUCAAUCCGAGGAGCACAAAUCCUCUCUUUGAAGCCAAGCACUCCACUUACGUCCAGUGUAGCAUCCGGAGUCUCCCUAUACACCACCUUUUCCUUAGGCUUGUUUAAAUUCUCAUUCUCAAAUAGUUUAGCCUUGAUUUUCUGUAUAUAUGUGGGCUUGAACUCAAUAUUGCCAACACUCCACCAUUUCCUAAAAUCCACAACCGCAUGAACUUACAUUCUAGAAUCUAAAUCUCUCUUGAUAAGGGUUACCAUUUCCUGAAACCCACAACCGCAUGAACAUAGAUUCUAGAAUCUAAAUCUCUCUUUCUAAGGGUUGCUUAAACACCACAAGUAAGCCAAACUUCUCAUGCUAACUAUCUUCUGGCUCAAUGCGUCUACCACCACAUGGGCUUUGCCUAGAUUAUACUGAAUAGUUACAUCAUAGUAUUUUGACAACUCCUCCCCUGCCUCUAAUUUAAGUCCUUCUGAGUAAACACAUUUUGUAAACUAUCAUAAUCUAUGAACACCUGACAUUUAACAUCAUAAAGAUAGUAUAAGAAGAUCUAAAGUGCAAACACUAUUGUUGCCAAAUCUAAAUUAGUUUGGGUAGUUCCUCUCAUGGACCUUCAAUUGCCUUUAAUCAUACCCCAUAACAUCCUUAUCUUGCAUCAACAGAGCAUCCAAACUUGAAUGUGAAAAGCAUCACAAAACAUAAUAAAGUCUUUUUAUUCCACUGGAAAUGACAGGAUAGGAGCCGUAGUCAAAAGUGUCUUUAAUCUAUUGAAAGAUUGAUGAGUGGUAGAUUUCCACUCAUCUAAGGUCUUUUUAGUUCAAUAAAUAGUAUUCUCAAUACCUAUUUAUGUCUUUAUUUGGUGAUAUUUUUGAUUUUUUGUAGCUAUGAAGGCUAAAGGACAAGACAAGGAUGAAUGAUGAAAAAGAUCCCAAAAACAUUGAAAGGAUUGUAAACUCCCAGCUGAUAAUCGCCUAACCAAAAAAGUGGAUCGCCCAACAGGAUAGACCUCGCCCAAAGUGAUAGUGUGCACAUUUGAAAAUAUUCAAGGUUGAUCGGCAAACCAAAGUAGAAAUGUUGAUUUGCCGAAGUCAUUAGGUGAUCUAGAAGUUCCAUCGCCGAAGGUAACAGACUCUUAAGUUAAAAUGAAGGCUGAAUGGGCAAACAAGGUGAUAAAUUGGCGAUCUGCCGAAUGGAAAAGGCUGACUCAAUUGAGUUCUCCAAGUGAGGUUCAAACACAUGAAAUCUAAAGCAAAUGAAGGGUAAGUUGAAGAACAAACAACAAUCCAUCGAAUCAGAAGAGCGAUCCCGACUAACAUCACCGAGUGUGUCACACAUAGAAUUUUGGACUAAUUUUUGUGAAAACUAUAAAUAAUCCAAAAGAGAAAAAAAAGGAAAUCUUUCCAUAAUUCAUUGUUAGUCUACUGCACUUUUUACUCUUUUUUUUGGAUAUUGAGAAAUAGACUCCUUGCUUAGUUUUGGGGUUUUGAAAUACUCUUGUAAUUGACAAUUAAGGGUUGCAAUUGAAGUGGGUGUUGAAGAUUAUUGCUUAUCAUCAAUACAUUAAUGGCUGAAAAUAUCAUAGGUAUAAUUUCUUUCCUUUUUAUGAUUCUUGGCUAAAACCCCAAAUCUAGAGGUGUGGUUAUGGGGUUGGGUGUUGAUUUAAUUUAGUGGUCUUGUGUCUUGCUCUAUUUUAUUGUUGUUCAUCCAUGAAUUUGAGUUAUACAACAUGGAGUUAAUUUAUGAGUUAAGAUUGCAAACUUAAUUCUAAUUUAUAUCUUUGAUUGAUGCUUGAAAGAGAUCAAUUGAAGUGGGUGAAUAACUUGAUACAUGCAAUUUAGGUUUGAUUUCUAUAGUUUGCUCGAAAAAGAAAUUGUGGUUCAAUUCUAGUUGUUGAAUCUUCUUGAAAGAGAGAUUUUAGUAAGUUAAUGAGUUGAUUUGAUUCACAUAGAUGAGACCGGAAGGAGAUUCUAUGAUAUGAUGCUUUGAGAUCGAAAGAAGAUUACCCAGCUUAUCCAUAUUGGUCUAUCAUUAUUCAACAAACACUUGUACCUCUAUUUGACAUCAAUACCAAUCCCACACCCCUAGAUCAUCUCUUACUUGUUUGGCUCCUUGUUUAUAGUUUAAUUAUGAUAACUGAUACCAAAAACCCUUUUAGUAAAUUUGGUGGAGUCAUCCACCCACUUGUUCUAAUAACUACAGUAAAUUGGUUGGCAUUCUUAAUUUCCUAAUUGAUUUCAUUGCAUUAUAUCACUCCUUGUGGGAUUCGACCACAACUCUCUUAUUGAGUAAUUUUAUUGCUAACGAACACUUACUCUUCUAAUUGUUUGAGAGUAAUUUGAGUGUAGUAAAAAAUGGCGUCACUACCAAGGAAUGAUGGCUAAGAAAUUCAGUUUGUGAAGUUAGUGUGUGGACUUGUUUGUUUGUAGUAGAUUGUUGUUUGGUGUUGUUGUUGUGCCCUAAUCACAGGUGGAACAAUGAGCGAAGAAGGAAGUGACGAUGCUAGUCACUAGGGGUGUCAUAUGGGAGGGUUGGGCUGAAAUUGAAGAGGUUAAAAUGGGAUGCAUGAAAAAGUGGGUUGGGUUAUAACCCGCCCAAAUUUACUUUGGGCUCAAAUGGGCUAAAACCCCGGUUGGGUCAUGACCCGCCCAGUUUGACCCGCUUAAUCUAAGCAAUACCUUAGAAUAAUACAACACAAUAUUAAGUAGCAAGUAGAAAUACAACACGAUAUUAAAAAAUAAUACAACACGACAUUAAAAAUCGACACGAUAUUAAGUAGCAAUAAUAACACGAUAUAAGUAGCAAUACAACAUGAUAUUAAGUAGAAACAAUAACAAAAUAUUAAAUAGCAAACAAGUGGUAUUAUAUGAACUUUAAAACCACAGAACAAUACUACAUUUGUUUGUAUAUAUGACAAUAACAAAACUUCCAAAUAAAAUGUAUCAAGUUCUGCAAUUGGAUCAGUGAAACAUAUUCUUUACCAAGUCUAACAGGAAAGGUUGCUUUAUCAACUGCAACUUCCUCAAUGUCAAUUGUUUUCUAAGCAGCAGAUAACACAUGAUCUCUAUUACCAGCACAUCCAUUUCUUCUAUGGGGCUAUCAAAAUCAAAAUCAAAACCUAUUAAGAAUUCGGGAUCAGAAAGGGUUCCUCUACAUAAGGGGCAUGCUGAAUUUGUUUAGAGCCAUGUAUCUAUGCAGUUGAUAUGGAAAGCAUGGCUGCAAGUUGGGAGUAAUCUAAACUUGUCCGUUUCAGAGAAUUCACACAAACAAACAACACAAUCAAAGAGUUCUUUAGUAAGACCAUCAACAACUUUUUUGUACACAAAGACAGGUAAUGCAUCAAUAAAAGCUUGAGCAAGACCAUAUUCAUGUUGAUGGAAAAGCUGUUGCAAUUGUCUUUGCAAGGCCUCAGAGCUAGAAACUAAAACAUAUCCAUACAUAUAGAAAAUCAUCCACAGACAUACCAAGAUCCAUUUGAAAAGCACAAGUCAACUUGAAGUACAUCGUUGAAGUGUCUACAGUUUAUCAUCUCUUCAUUUUGUUUUUCAUUCUUAGUACUAUGUUUUCUAGAUUAUGUGAUCUUCUCUAUGCUUGAUAUCAAACUCGAGAAUUUCAGACGCGCUUAAGUUCUUUUUGUACACAAGCAGUAUGUCAUAGAAUCGUCUCAGUUUCCUACAUCGUGAUUCAUAACAUAGUUCUGCAAGUAAUAUAUGCCAGAAUAGAGACAUAGAUAAAACAUUAGCUUACAACUGUUAGAGACAUGUCCAGAAUCAUUACUCACAGAACAAAUAGGCGUUGAUGAGACAUAUGUAACGCCACAACCAUGACUUCCAUAUCCAUUCUCCAGCACACAAUGGCCAUUUUCUAUAUGGAUAGGCACUAGUUUCGGGGCCAUGACAGUUCUAACAGGACAGUCUUUUGUUCACCCAUUUGCUAUGAUACUCAUACUAAACAUGACAAGAAAUACAAACAGUCCAAAACAUGUCGAGUCUGUUUUGAGAAACGGAAUAAUUGAAUUAUAAAGGGAAAAUGCUCAAAUAUGUUAUUGAAUUUAUAGAAAUACUCAGUUCUUCCACUCUUAACUAAU
rnacentral:lncRNA from 1 species